rnacentral:tRNA from 1 species
GAGCUGGAGCUCAGCGGUAGAGUGCUCGCCUCAUACAUGAGGCACUGCGUUCGAUUCCCAGCACCGCA